rnacentral:rRNA from 1 species
CCUACGGGAGGCAGCAGUAGGGAAUAUUGCUCAAUGGGGGCAACCCUGAACCAGCAACGCCGCGUGGAGGAUGAAGGUUUUCGGAUUGUAAACUUCUUUUGUUAGAGAAGAUAAUGACGGUAUCUAACGAAUAAGCACCGGCUAACUCCGUGCCAGCAGCCGCGGUAAUACGGAGGGUGCAAGCGUUACUCGGAAUCACUGGGCGUAAAGAGCGCGUAGGCGGGAUUGCAAGUCAGAUGUGAAAUCCUAUGGCUUAACCAUAGAACUGCAUUUGAAACUGUUAUUCUAGAGUAUGGGAGAGGUAGGUGGAAUUCUUGGUGUAGGGGUAAAAUCCGUAGAGAUCAAGAGGAAUACUCAUUGCGAAGGCGACCUGCUGGAACAUAACUGACGCUGAUGCGCGAAAGCGUGGGGAGCAAACAGGAUUAGAUACCCGUGUAGUC